rnacentral:rRNA from 1 species
AUGAACGCUGGCGGCGUGCCUAAGACAUGCAAGUCGAGUGGGUUUAGGCCCAUGGCGAACGGGUGAGUAAUACCUAGGAACUUUCUUUAAGUGGGGCAUAACCAGUCGAAAGAUUGGAUAAUACCCCAUGUGAUAGCAAUAUCAAAGUCGCAAGACGCUUAAAGUGAGGCCUGGGCACCAUCAGCUAGUUGGUAAGGUAAUGGCUUACCAAGGCUAUGACGGUUAGGGGUCCCGAGAGGGAUAACCCCCCACUGGAACUGCGACACGGUCCAGACUCCUACGGGAGGCAGCAGUUUGGAAUUUUGGACAAUGGGCGAAAGCCUGAUCCAGCGACGCCGCGUGGACGAUGAAGGCCUUCGGGUCGUAAAGUCCUUUUGCUCGGGAACAAUAUUUUGAGCGUACCGAGAGAAUAAGAGGUUGCUAACUCUGUGCCAGCAGCAGCGGUAAUACAGAGACCUCAAGCGUUAUCCGGAAUCAUUGGGCGUAAAGCGUACCGAUAGGUGGUUUUACAAGUCAGAAGUGAAAUCUCUCAGCUCAACUGGGAGACUGUCUUUUGAAACUGUAAAACUAGAGGGGCAAAGAGGAAGCUGGAACAAGCGGUGUAGUAGUGAAAUGCGUUGAUAUCGCUUGGAACACCAAUAGCGUAGGCAGGCUUCUGGGUGCCACCUGACACUGCUAGGACGAAAGCGUGGGGAGCGAAUGGGAUUAGAUACCCCAGUAGUCCACGCUGUAAACGAUGAUGAUUAGGUGCUAGGGAGUAUCGACCCUCCUUAGUACCAUAGCUAACGCGUUAAAUCAUCCGCCUGGGGAGUACGGCCGCAAGGCUAAAACUCAAAGGAAUUGACGGGGACCUGCACAAGCGGUGGAGCAUGUGGUUUAAUUCGACGGUAAGCGAGGAACCUUACCAAGGCUUGACAUGUAGCUGCAUCCUUCAGAAAUGAAGGCGCCUUCGAGGGUGCUACACAGGUGCUGCACGGUUGUCGUCAGCUCGUGCCGUGAGGUGUUCACUUAAGUGUGAAAACGAGCGCACCCCUACGGUGAGUUACAAGUGUCUCACAGAACUGCCCGCGUUUAAGCGGGAGGGAGGUGGGGAUGACGUCAAAUCAGCGUGGCUCUUACGCCUUGGGCGACACACGUGCUACAAUGGGAAGCGCAAAGGGACGCCAAACCGCAAGGUGGAGCAAAUCCUAUCAAUACUUCCCCCAGUUCGGAUCGAGGGCUGCAACUCGCCCUCGUGAAGCCGGAAUCGCUAGUAACCGUAUAUCAGCCUCGAUACGGUGAAUACGUUCUCAGGUUUUGUACACACCGCCCGUCAAGCCGUGGAAGCAGGAAGCGGCUAAAGUUCACCAGUAGGUGGCCUAAGCCGAAGCUUGUAACUGGGGCU